GUUGAUAUGGCCGAGUUGGUCUAAGGCGCAGGAUUAAGGUUCCUGUCCGAAAGGGCGUGGGUUCAAAUCCCACUGUCAACA
rfam:Brassica rapa chromosome A4, whole genome shotgun sequence.